GUGAUUUUGUUUGGUUUGGUUUUGGGUGUUGUUGCUUUGGGAUCGAAGCGUGCGUUUGUUUGUAUUGUUGUAGCGCAGCGGUCGAUAGGGUUAAGGCCAUGGAGCGCAUCAUCGGCGCCAAGUACAAGCUAGGUCGCAAGAUCGGAAGCGGAUCCUUCGGCGAAAUCUACCUCGCGACGCAUAUUGAUACCUUCGAAAUUGUCGCGGUCAAGAUCGAGAACAGUAAAACGAAGCAUCCGCAAUUGCUUUACGAGGCCAAGCUCUACAAUAUUCUACAAGGAGGAAGUGGCAUCCCGAGCAUAAAAUGGUGUGGUGUCGACGGAGAGGAUAAUGUGCUUGUUAUGGAUUUGCUGGGACCUAGUCUUGAGGAUCUGUUUGUUUACUGUGGAAGAAAGUUCUCCCUCAAAACCGUGUUGAUGUUAGCUGAUCAAAUGAUGACUAGAAUUGAAUAUGUGCAUUCUAAAGGAUUCCUACACAGGGAUAUAAAACCUGACAACUUUCUCAUGGGACUAGGUCGUAAGGCAAACCAGGUUUACAUAAUUGAUUUUGGGCUUGCAAAACGAUAUAGGGACUCCACAACUAAUCGUCACAUUCCUUACAGGGAAAACAAAAACUUAACAGGGACUGCACGCUAUGCAAGUUGCAAUACUCAUCUUGGGAUUGAGCAAAGUCGACGGGAUGAUUUGGAGUCACUUGGGUAUGUGCUUCUGUAUUUUCUCAGAGGAAGCCUUCCUUGGCAAAACCUAAAGGCUGCAACAAAGAAGCAAAAGUAUGAUAAAAUAUGUGAGAAGAAAGUAGCAACUCCUAUUGAGGUUUUAUGCAAAUCUCAUCCCGUAGAGUUUGCUUCAUACUUUCAUUAUUGUCACUCUCUGACCUUUGAUCAGCGACCUGAUUAUGGUUUCUUGAAGCGCCUGUUUCGGGAUCUAUUUGCUCGUGAAGGUUAUGAAUUUGAUUAUGUAUUUGAUUGGACUAUUUUAAAGUACCAGCAGGCACAGAAGAAUAGGACCCAGCCUCGCAUGUCUAUGGUCCCUGGAGCAAGCAGCACUCCUGCAGUGCCAAUGGAUGUGGACAACAAUCGAGGGGAUGUGUCAGCAGAACGCAUUAAAUCAGGCAAUGUAACUGGUUCCGGUGUUAAAAUUCAGUUUAAAUCACCUGGUUUAAAAAAUUUGGGUUCUGAAAAGCCUCUUGACAAGAAUAUUUUUGGUGAAGCAAAUAUACCCUCUACCUCAUACUCUCUUGCUGGCACCUCAAAAAGGAACUCUUUGAAGCCUGCCUUGUCCACUGAAGCUGCUAACAUAGUAAAUGGGCAAGGAAGUAAUAAAAUUGGCCCUUCAAGUAGUUGGAUUUCAUCUGUGCAGCGCAUAUCUUCUGCCAAAUGAAUACCAAUAUGGUUUGGUUCUGAUCUAGAAGAUUCCCGUACACAUUUAUGAAGCUGCAAAAAUUUAAGAUAUUUGCUUGCUUCAACCUUACAUUUUUGGUCAAGAAUUUUCAAGUGAUCUAUCUAUGGAGACUGCAAAUGUGCUGCAAGGAUGAUAAAUUUCAAAGCUCGUCAUCUUCUGAGACCAUCUGUGUUGCUUUUUUUCCUAAGGUAGCUUGAAUUUGACGGUCAGCCAGAUUAACUAGUCAUUCUUGGGAUGAAUGAAAUCUGGUUGUGUCAUUGUAAUUCAAGGAUUUCUUUUUUCAACCUAUAUUGUCUGAAGGGUGAAACAUGAGUGACAAUUGGUGUUAUAUCGAUGUCAUUGUCAACGGGAACAUACCUAUUCGUACAUAGCACUUUGGGGAAGUACUUGUCACAAGCUUGAGAAUUGAUUUUGAUGUUGCUUGUGAUAUGGAUUUUGGUUAAGAUUUUCGAAGGUCUAUGAGUUGAUGGGUGGACAAAUAAUUGAUUCUUGCUGGGUAUAAGUAAGCCUCAUAAAUCGAAAUAUAUGCAUAGAAAGGAAUUUCAUUUUCGUAGAGUGAGAAUUACAUGCCUAGAAACGAAGUUUAAUUCCUUCUGUAAGUUAUUUCAGUUAAAGACAUUUUUAACGUUUGUAGAUAUUCUCUUAGAAGCAAAGCUGGAAGUAACUGAGUA